UACGUAGGCAGCGAGCGUUGUUCGGAGUUACUGGGCGUAAAGGGUGUGUAGGCGGUUGUUUAAGUUUGGUGUGAAAUCUCCCGGCUCAACUGGGAGGGUGCGCCGAAUACUGAAUGACUAGAGUGCGGUAGGGGAGACUGGAAUUCCUGGUGUAGCGGUGAAAUGCGUAGAGAUCAUGAGGAAGACCAGUGGCGAAGGCGGGUCUCUGGACAGUUCCUGACACUGGGGCACGAAGGCCAGGGGAGCAAACGGG
rnacentral:rRNA from 1 species